UGCCAGCCGCCGCGGUAAUACGGAGGGUGCAAGCGUUAUCCGGAAUUAUUGGGCGUAAAGGGCGCGCAGGCGGUUCGUUAAGUCUGAUGUGAAAGCCCGGGGCUCAACCCCGGAUGGUCACUUGAAACAGCAAGACUUGAGUACUGGAGAGGAAAGCGGAAUUCCUGGUGUAGAGGUGAAAUUCGUAGAUAUCAGGAGGAACACCGAUGGCGAAGGCAGCUUUCUGGACAGAUACUGACGCUGAGGCGCGAAGGCGUGGGUAGCGAACGGGAUUAGAUA
rnacentral:rRNA from 1 species